UUUCAAGUGUGAUUUUGAGAGCGUUCUGGUUUUGCUGAGGUUGUGGUUUUGAAAAUAGAAAGUUGCACUCGUCCUAAUCUGUCGUUUAUUGCAUAAAUUCCCACCUCUUGUGGGGAAUUUAAGGUGAAUCGGCACAGAUGGGGUUCGAACCCACAAUCCAUGAGCCACGGCCAUACCGUAUGUCGCUUAACAAUUUAGGACUCGGAUCUUGUUGAAGAGAUCAUGGGCUUAAAAGCACACUCAUAAAUCCACUCGUAGUUCCACAGUUUUUCAAGAUGGAAGCUCGUUGUACCACCAACAGCAGGCCUACAUAUUCCUAACGAGACCUUUUGACUAAUUAUACAUUUUGUUAUUGUCAUCACACCAACUGGUCCAAAUUCCAUCUCGGGCGUAUUUAGGGACAGAACAGUGAUUUAGUGCUUGUUGAGCAAUAUUUAAAGGUCUACCUAAAAGGGUUCUACUUGGAGUCCAUUUCUGAUAGAGGAAAGAUUUUGAAGAUGUUACGGGUUCCCCUUCAGACAGCAAGGAACCCAUAAGGGUACUACAUUUUCAAAGACCGGCACAGCUCCCUUUUGGGUUGUCGUAGUUGAAAAUGUACGUGGUUCUAAUUGAGACGCCGAUGAGUGCAAUACUCGUGCUUUAAGCAUACGUUCGACAGUUUAAGCAGGACGUUAGCUUUUGUGAUGAGGUUCUCGUGUUAGCGCACACUGCUUUUUUAACUGCAAAGAGUGUUAGCAUUGUCCUCAGAAGAGGUGUUGUGGACAGAUCCAUGAGGUCUCUUGCAAACCAAAACAUACUUUUUUGGGAUAGCGGUUGUUUAUCUACUACCUAGUAAGUUCUGAGCAUAUGCAUUUGAACAACUGGACAACAUAUAAUAUUGCUGAUUAUAAUCGGGAUCGUGAUGAGUCAUGAUGAGGCUUUAUUUCUUUGUUCUCAUGUAUUAAGUUAGAAGUUGACCUGAUUGGAUUUGGGGAAAAGGUCCACAGUUCUGCUGCACUGAGCAAACACUCCAGCUUAAUGAUAAGUGCCAUGGUAACAUUCCCUGAUGACAAAAAUGGACACCCUCAGCCUUGUUAUAUUACCUGUGACCUAUAAUAAUAACUCCAACAUCAACGCUAUCCUCUAUCCCCAACCUCUACCACUAACCCCAACUUCUACCACUAACCCCAACCUCUAACAUUAACCCCUAAACACUAACCCGUAACCCUGACCCCAAACUCUAACAGUAUUAAGUAAGAAGCUGACCCGAUCGGAUUUGAUGGAAAAGAUCCACAGUCCUGCUGCACCAAGCAAACAAACACUACAGCUUAAUGAUAAGUCCUCAGGUAAGUGUCAUGGUAACACCUCUGUUUUUGUUGAUGACAAAAAUGGAAGCCCUCAGCCUUUUCAUGUUACCUGUGUAUGGAAAAUUAGCUUCUCCUUUUGUUAGCUUGAGCUCAAAACGGGGGAAAUGUGCAUGCAAACGUAAUAUUUCAACAGCUGAUCAACUAUUCGUCCACCGUUGAGUUGAACUUAAUGUAUCUUAUUAAGUCUGGCUAGGAUAUUAAUCCCAUGACCACUGGUAAUAAUAUCCUGAUGUUAAACAUGGAUUAUGAGCACAGUAACAAGAUCGGACAACUUAAGACAAUAAAUCAUAAAUAGAGACAAGAGACACUUGGUAUUAAAACCAAACGGCAACUUAACAGCAAGUAGCGAUAUAAUUUAAUUAAAAAAUAAAUAAAUAAAUAAACAUUACAGAAGCUUCAAUUUGAAAGAAAAUACUUGAAAAUACACUUAACUUGCAGUUUAAAACAAACAAAAACGGCCCACAGGGUUAGUGUUGCCACUAAAGAGGUUAUAAAAAGCUAUUUCAGAACAGUACACAAACAUUAAUGUUUCCAUUAAGAGUCGUUAAUGUGAUUCCUACCUCUAUAUUGCUCUUUUGCUCUGCUCCUCUUCUUCGCACCGCUUCCUGCCUUGUGCACCUGAUCAUUUUCUUCAUUCACUCAUUUAUUCUAAAGCAGUUGAAGGUGAAUGCGAACGGCAAAACGAAUCAUAACUGCACUAUCAUGUGCACCAUAACGGCGUUAUGGUGAUGAUGGCGUAUUAUUACCUCGUCAUGAUGCAGGCAGGCAGUGUUUAAAUUACUCCAGCAUAUAUUGUCAACUAUUACAGGGUUGUUGUUUUUUUUUCCGUUGACGUCCAUUUUGUUAUCGUAAACAUAUUGAAUUCAUAAGGACUAACAGGGUGUUAAUUGGUAUAAAUAAUUAAUGUAUGGGUGGAGUGGCACACAGUGGUCAUGAGAGGGUGCACUUCCGAUAAAAUAAAUCUCUGCAUGUGGUGCCCCGUGUCAUUUUGUGCCUUAGGCCACCGCCUAUGUCGCCUCUGCCAUGGGCCGGCCCUGCUCCAACCUCUAACACUAGCCUCUAACACUAUCCCCAACCUCUAACACUAGCCUCUAACACUAACCUCUAACACUAUCCCCAACCUCUAACACUAACCUCUAACACUAUCCCCAACCUCUAAACACUAACCUCUAACACUAACCUCUAACACUAUCCCCAACCUCUAACACUAACCUCUAACACUAACCUCUAACACUAACCCCAACCUCUAACACUAACCUCUAACACUAUCCCCAACCUCUAACACUAACCUCUAACACUAUCCCCAACCUCUAACACUAACCUCUAACACUAUCCCCAACCUCUAACACUAACCUCUAACACUAUCCCCAACCUCUAACACUAUCCCCAACCUCUAAACACUAACCUCUAACACUAACCUCUAACACUAUCCCCAACCUCUAACACUAUCCCCAACCUCUAACACUAACCUCUAACACUAUCCCCAACCUCUAACACUAACCUCUAACACUAUCCCCAACCUCUAACACUAACCUCUAACACUAUCCCCAACCUCUAAACACUAACCUCUAAACACUAACCUCUAACACUAUCCCCAACCUCUAACACUAACCUCUAACACUAACCCCUACCUUUAACAUUAACCUCUAAAUCCUAACACUAACCUCUAACACUAACCCCUACCUUUAACAUUAACCUCUAAAUCCUAACACUAACCUCUAACACUAACCCCUACCUUUAACAUUAACCUCUAAAUCCUAACACUAACCUCUAACACUAAUCACUCCUAAAUUUUAGCCCUUUUCGGCGGGCAGAGCCAUAAAAGCCAAAAAACCAGUAAUGUUUUUUCUUUAAAGAUCCAGAGAAAGGGAUUUUUUGACAUUUUUAUACGUGUCUUCUUCUUAUUAUAGUUAUUAUCUUUACUAUCAUUGCAUAAUUAUCAAAAGUGGUAACUUAAUAAAGGCCAUUUCACAUUUUGCGUUUUCGGCCUACCAUUUAACCAACUAUAAUAGUCUCAUCGAAUGGUAAAUCAAUACAAGAUGCAGUACGUAAGUAAGAGUAAACCGAACAGUACUUCCCGAUAAUACGACUUCCAAAUAUGCAAAUUCAUCUGUCCGUUCGGACUGGAAAGAACAAUACCUAUCGUCUUUUCUUCCUUUCAUCCAUUCACCUUUGUUAAAAAACAGGGGGGGGGGGGGGGACUGGCUAUAUAGUUUUCAACUGAUUUAUGAAUCAGACCGGGUAAUCACCGCUCUGCUCCGCAUUGUCCAAUCAGAUUUGAGCUUGUUGUGCCACAUCGCGAUUGCCUGGUGUCUGCAUAACAAACUGACAUUGAUUACGAAUUAUGUAUUAUUUUAAAAUAUGUCACGUGUAGAGUCUUUUCCCCCACCGUUGAGCCACAGGCGAUCACUGAUUAAGAGCCGUAGGUUCCCCUGCCCUAAACCCUAACCUAUAACCCCUACCCUCUAACCCUUAAACCUCACAGACAUUCUCCUUUACUCUCAGUCACUCAGGAUUUCCACUUACAGCUACAUAUUAUAACGAUUUAAAAAGCCCAGCUGACUGCUUAUCCAUAUAUCUGCAUGAUUAAAUCUUUCAUAGGCACGAUCUUGGUUUGACCACAAAUUUAUUACAAGCAAGUGCCACUGAAUGUUUUCUGUAAAUUCAAUGUCUGACCGCUGACUGAGAAACUGGCAUAAGCGUAUUUUCUCAUGUGCAACAAGCGGUUAUGAAUCGUCUGCUGGUUUCGGCAUCCGAUUGGGGUAACCGAACUGCGCCAGGCUUUAUAGAGCCAUCUGAAAGGUUUUAUUGUCAGGAACUAAUAUAAUAUAAUAGCUCAAUCUGAUUUGAUUCCGUUUAAUUUCUGACUGCUGAGCCUUCUUUUCCCUGUACAGGCAAACAGUCUGAGUGAUGCUCAUGCAGCAAUUAAAACACAUUUCAGAGGGCCUUUUAAAAUUCAAACUUGAAAUGAUUAUCCUGACAGAACAAGACAACUUCAAGCAAUUUGUAAAAACAAAUGCCUAUAAAUAGACCUAAUAAUCAUGUUUAAUUAUAGUACUGUAAUCAGAAAUAUGACAUAAAUUUGACGAUAUUUUUUCUCUUUUGCAGAAAGCUACUCAUGUCCAAGUUUUUUUUUUUUUCCCUCCUAAUUCUGGAUGUACUUUUCCACUUCAACAUUUCCUCAAGCUAUAGUCAUGAGCUGCAUGCCGAGAGCAUGAAACCUGAUGACGAGGAAACAGCGGAUAACGUCUAUCCAGCUACCGCUUAUCCAACACAGGGUCACAGGGAGCCUGGAGCCUGUCCCAGGGGACUCGGGGCACAAGGUGGGGGACACCCUGGACGGGGUAACAACCCGUAGCAGGGCACAAUCGCACACAUACACCCAUUCACACACUACGGACAAUUUAGAGAUGCCGAUCAGCACACGAUGCAUGUCUUUGGACUGGGGAGGAAACCGAAGCACGGGGAGAACAUGCAAACUCUGAGCACCCAGGGCAGAGGCGGGAUUCGCACCCCCAACCCCGGAGGUGCGAGGGAAACGUGCUAGCCACUAAGCUACUCCCAGUAGAAGCAGUUAUGAACGAAUCUCUGACCCCUGUGUUUCUGGUUGCUAGUUCUAUCAAGUGAAACGUUUUAGACCUCAAAGUCAUGUCAAGAGCUUAAAAUUCAGAGUCCUGCGUUAAAUAAUUAUGCGGUCAGCAAAACAACCCGUCCGUUUGGGGCUCUUCUACCUAAAAGUUAAAAAACACAGGCUGAUGAGUUCAUUCAGCACCUAAUAGACGCUAAUAGAUUGAUUUAUCACCUGUAGUGUGAGUUAACGAAGCCUGAAAGUCACUUCAAGAACAGAAAUGGUCUUUUUGUUUGUUUGUUUGUUUGUUUGUUUGUUUGUUUGUUUUUUAAAACGAAUGAGAAAGCUUACUGAAAAAAAAAUAUCUCUGUAAAAUAAUCAGAAAGUUGUGAUGCCGGGAUCAUAUUAGAUGUUUACGGCAUGCUCAUACGGCAAGCUCGACACCGAUUAAACAGCGCUUUUAAGAAGGUCUUCAUUCACGUGUGCAGAAUGGAGACGUGCUCAUGUCUACGCUAAUUUGUUUUAGGUCCAUUAUCCGGGGGGUUUCUGCGUCUCAUCUUCAUUUGUCUUAGUGAUAAUAUUCCUAACGCUGCUCAACUUUCAGUUUUACGUUUCCAGGAAUCACUUUGAGAUAAAACUCCAUUGCAGACAUCAACAACAAAUAACCCACACAAAUCUGAUAACGUCGUUACUGUUCCUCCGCUGACAUUUCACUACACAUGUUUCAUGCAGUUGAUCUUUAUAACUCAUCACUCGCACGCCCACUAUCCGUACACAACUUACCCGAUUCCGCACUUGAAUUAUGGUGAAGUAGGGCGAAAAUAUUUAUCAGAGUACAAAUAAAUCUGAUUAUAUUGUAUUAAUGACAUAUUUCCUUUGCAGCAAUUAUGACCAAUUUAGGUUAUUUUGUUGAUAUUAUACCACAGAUACGGGAAAGUCUUCAGGACAGAGGCGUUUAUGCUUUGUCGUUUCUCUGCAAUAUGACAUGCUAUGGGGUUCUUUUUGUCUUAUCGACUUCUAGAGAGAGGCAAAAGUGCCCUACGAUGGUUUGGCAGCCUGUCCAGGGUGGACCCCGCCUUGUGCCCAAUGCUCCCUGGGAUAGGCUCCAGGUUCCCUGCGACCCUGAAAAGGAUAAGCGGUAUAGAAGAUGGAUAUUAAGAUCUGGGGAAUGCGGAGGCCGAGUCAACACCUUGAACUCUUUGUCAUGUUCCUCAGACCGUUCCUGAACUAUUUCUACAGUGUGUCUGGGAGCGUUAUCCUGCUGGAAGAGCCCACUGAUAUUAGGGGAUACCGCUGCCAUGGAGGUGUGAACUUGGUCUACGACAAUGUUUUGGUAGGUGGGACGUGUCAAAGUAACAUCCACAUGAACGGCAGGACCCGAGGUUUCCCAGUAGAACAUUACCCAGUGCAUCACACUUCCUCCACCGACUCGCCUUCUUCACAUAGUGCAUCCUGGUGCCAUCUCUUACCCAGAGAAGACUACAUUACUUCGAAGCGAAGAACAGAGAACGGUGACGCUCUAAAGAUCUCAUUCUGUUGGCGCAAUGACAACGAUGUUUCUGUUACAUCACAACGAGCGCAGACCUGUCCAAUCUUCCACAUGCCUCGUUCAGCUGAACAGAGUGACCUUGAGGCUUUUCUCAAAUUGCUCGAGCCGUGUCAAUCCGGAUGGAUGCUGUCGAUGGUGAGCAGCAAUUUUCAAGUCUUGCUACGGAUUCUCAAUCAGACUGAGGUCUGGGCUUUGACAGGGCUGUUCUAACUCUCCUGUCGGAAGAUAAAGCUCCGCCGCAGUCUCGAGUGUCUUGCAGACUGGAACAGGUCAUCUUUUAGCAUUACGCUGUAUUUGAACUUGAUGCUACCGCAUCCGUGCUUCGCCGUGUGGACGGUGCUCUGAGGGUGAUGAGCCAUUUCGAGUUAAUACCAGAGGUAGAACUUUGUGCCAGAGUCAAGCAGUUCAAUUCUGGUUUCAUCAGAUCAGAGAACCUUUUCACACGGGGUUGCUGUGGAAAAAUUUCACCUGCUCCAGACUUUCAUGGCCCUGAUUGUGUAUUUUAAUGAUUUAAAUGUUUGUUUAUUUUUAUAUCCAUUACCUGACAUAUGCAACUAUAUGACUGCAGUUUCUUCUAUAGUCAAAUGUCAUGUUUAUGUCAUGUUACCGAGAAACCGCAAAGUGUAGACAUGUCCUUUGAAAAACUCGUACGGCUUCUUUCUAUCUCUGUGGUUGUCCGUUUUUUACAAAAAAAUAUUUAAUUCCAUUCUGGCCGACGCCCUUAUCCAGAGCGACUUCCAUUUAUCUCGUUUAUACAUCUGAGCAGGUAAGGGUUAAGGGCCUUGCUCAAGGGCCCAGCAGUGGCAGCUUGUCCUGUGAACAUCUUCUCCCAUCUGAGCUGUGGAUCUCUCCAGCUCCUUCAGAGUUACCCAUGUCCUCUUGGUUGCUUCUCUGACUAAUCCCUUCUUUACCCAGUCACUGACAUUUGGUGGACAAACUCCUCUAGGCAGAGUCGAGGUUGUGCCAUAUGACCUUCUCUUUUUAAUAAUAGAUCUAACGUCACUCUGCUUGAUGUUCAAAGAUGAGGAACCAAACCCCGAUCGAUCCGUUUCAAGAACUUUGUCCCGGACGUGUUUGGAUUGCUCUUUGGUCUUCAGGAUGCUGUUUUGUUUCUUCUUUAACAGACUCUGGAUUCUUCCAGGAACAGGUGUGUUUAUAUCGAGAUCACAUGACACUUUAAUUGCACGUGGUUGACUCUAUUCAAGUCAUUACUGGAUUUCGGACUCAUUUGAAGGGUUUCACACCAACAGGAGUGAAUACUUAUGCAAUCGCAACGUGUAGCUCAUUUUGCAAGCUAUAUUGACACACCGGUGUUACGUAUAGAUUUGGAUGGAUUUGUGUUAUAAAAUCCUAAAUCAGUCCAUUUCAGUUCAAGGCUGUGACACUACAAAAUGUGAGAAAAUACAAGGGGGUGAAAACUUAUACAAGGCACUGUGGUGUAAGUCUAUGUAGGGCCCUGUUUGUUUGGAAGUGUGAAGAGGUGUAUCGACCUCAGUGACCCUUUCACAGUUUGAAUAAUCACAUCCUGCAGUGUUUGGAGGUUCGUUUUACUGUUUAUGAAGUCCUGGCUGGAGCCCACUCGCAUUUCAGACUCGUCUUUAUGCAUCAGAUUCCUCUCCCGCCAGAUUAACGUAACAGCUGUUGCCGUGGCAACGUGACGAAGAUUUACUGUAACCUGAGGUACAUUGAGUCUGAGGUAUGUGCAGAGGUACACUUCUGCUUUAUUGUAGUACUAAUCUGUGUUGUCGAGUCUGUAUAUACGGCGGACUGAAAGCACAAUCGGACCUUUGUAAAUAUUUAAAGAGAAUCUUGACACAGCGUGCGUCCGGGAGAUAUAUGUGUAUAUACAGUCAUAGGAUGAAGAAAGUUUGGUUUAUUUUCGGCGGGGGAGGGAAAGGUUACAUAUUGAAACCUGUUGUGGUGGUGUUGUUGUUUUUGUUGUGACCUGGGGUUAUUUAUUAGUUUAUGAGGAGAUAAAAACGUAGAAUUGAAGGAGGGUGUACUUUCUUUUGCCCAUGACUGUAUAUAGUAUAAAUCACACUCGGAUACGCCCACCCACCUCGUGCAAAAAUGUUAUGAAGAGGUUAUAAAAUGGUGCCAUUUUUUUUUUACAAAUCACACAAAGAAAACGUUGUGAACUGGUUGCUCCCCAUCUCGCAUUUCGUUAAAUCCUCUAACCUUCCUGGUAAGCUCGAGGCUCUUUUAAUAUCAACGGCUUCAUUUCUCCUCAAAACUAUUUAUUUAUUUUGCUCCAACCCGUCAGCCAUUUUGCGGAUUUAGCACGAGGCAAGGUGAGUUUGUUUGUUUUAAUGGCAGCCUAAACGGCAACGAGGGUGCCAAUACUUUGGUUUCGGGCAUUAAAAAACAGAAAUCAAAUAUAAUGUCACGUGCAAACGUCAGAUCUUGCUAACAGAUAACAACUAAUAUAUCAGCAUGAGUGCCCUAGCGAUACCUCAGAAGAAUGGUUCAGCAUUCUGGAGUAAACAAAGACUCCAAAUAUAUCAAAUAAGGCAUCGCGUUUACCUCCGUAGAUAGAGAGACAAUAAUAAAUUCAUUAAUGGAUAAAAAAAAACAUAUUGACCUUUUGAAGUUUUGCUAACUUGCUAACAUUAGCUGACUAUAUUUAAUGAAGCUAGCAUGUUUUCUUUGCUAAUGCCAGGUUAACAGCACUGUUUCCAGUGCCUAAGCAGCAAGUCAGAUUCUAGCUAAGGGUAAAUAUUGCAAACUUACAGAGAUGGAAUGAUAGGGCAUUCGGGCUUAGACUAGAAAUAUUUUAAAAAUCGCUUUUUCGCAUGAAAAACGUGACUAGCUUAAUUUCAGCAGUUCAAAAUGUUACUCUUUAAUACUUGAGUAGUCGCAACUUUUUAAUUAAUUACUUAAAUUGAAGUACAUUUUCAGCUGGAUACGUCUACUUUUAACUUCGCUUAAUCCUCCAUUCGAAAUUCCAUCCUUCCCUCUUCUACCGCUUAUCCUUUUCAGGGUCACAUGGAACCUGAAGUCUAUCCCAGGGAGCAUGGGGGUCGAGGCAGGGUACACCCUGGACGGGGUGCCAAUCCAUCGCAGGACACAAUCACACACCCAUUCAUACACUACGGACACUUUGGACACGCCAAUCAGCCUACCACGCAUGUGUUUGGACUGGGGGAGGAAACCAGAGUACCUGGAGGAAACCCCCGCAGCACGGGGAGAACAUGCAAACUCCCCACACACACACACACGCACACACACACACAGGGCCACGUGGGAAUCGAACCCCCGACCCUGGAGGUGUGAGGAGAACGCGUUAACCACUAAUCCACCGGGCCUGAAGUUAAUGAAAACAUCGUGUUACUGCCAUCUCGGAAAGACUAAUAAACAUGCGCGUAUGUGUCAUGCGCUUUUUUGUCCUGUUUUAAAGUUACUUCCAGUAUGUACAAUUACUGCUUUAUUCCCGUCUCUUAUGUUCCGUCACGUCUCCACGCCGCCGCAGAGCCAGAAAUGCACGAGCAGUGAUGGAAAUGCAAAUUCAACCGUCGCUACUCUGAUUGAUAUUCAGUACUGGCCAUCGUUUCCUGGACAGCUGCUGUGAUUAGACUGUCUCCUUCGUGACAGCAUCAGCAGUCAUAAAAGGAGAUGGAGUUCAACUUCCUGUGUGAGCUAAAGGUCUUGCUUAAGUAAAUAAAGAUGUGACGGAACCUUCGAUUUUUCACUCUUCGCUGCUUUCACUCGUAUCAGUGUUGUGAUGGAGCAGGCGGUUGGAGUGGCGCUGAAUUCAUUACAUUCGACAGCUACAGUCGGAUUCAGUACGUGUACGUGUACGUUUUUAAGAAUGCUAUGGGAAUUUAUAUCGCGGCGCUGUUGAAUUUGGUAUUCUGAUUGGUCAGAAGGAGAUGAUUAAUUCAUUUUUCUCUAAAGGGAUCUUGGACAGCAGUGCACUGGUUCUCAUAUAUAUCGUCGUUUCUAUAGUAACUGCUCGUUCACUGGGAAGUCUUCUGUAAGGAGGUGUUUAGUCAACCUUUACGGAAGGAGUCUCCAGUGUCAGCGUUUUGUAACGGUCAGAGGUAAAGCUGUAACCUUCCUUUACACUAACCAAAAUUAUUUUCCUAGUUCAAAAAUAUGUAUGGCAAUAUUAUUGGCACCCCUGGAGGAAAUUUCGAUAAACUUCUUAUAGAGUAUAAAACAUCAUAUACAAUAUAUAAUGAACGAUGAACAUUCCUAAGGCUUUAUGAACAUGACCUUUGGCCGUGUAAAAGGUUGCACGGGCAAAAUUUAUUUAUGACGUACUCCUCAGGCAGAAAACAAAAAGGUUUUUCACAAGAACACAAAAGAGACGUAAGUCAGAUAAAGGAUAUAAAAAAUACACAAGCGCUUAAAAACACAACCAGUUGUACAUGUGGAAGGAAUUGGACAAACAAUUAGGAAGAGAUUCUCAUGUUCGUUCCGAGAAGGUUUUUAUCAAAUAAUAAUAAUAAUAAUAAUAAUAAUAAUAAUAAUAACCAUUGUGUUUGUAUUUCCAGAACAAAAUGCAUUACUUGUAAUUCUGCCAAUAAUUCUGAACUAGUGUAAGCAGUUACUGAUGCAAUUGCACUAUCUGUAUCUGUAAUCAGAUUUAAGCCUGAACUGGGUUUGAUCUAUACUGGAAUGUAUGUUUCUUUCUUUCCUUUUUUCUUCCUUUCUGCCUUUCUUUCUUUACCGAUAUUCAUCUCUUCUUUCAUUUUCUCUUUUCAGGCAGGAUGAGUGAAUGAGCACUGUAAAUGCAUCACGCAGCGCUGCACAAUAACGAACGGGGUCUCUGGAUGUCCUUCAAGCUUAUAUUUCAGGCUUGUACAUAUAUAUA